rnacentral:tRNA from 1 species
CAUGUAGCUCAGUCGGUAGAGCACUUCCUUGGUAAGGAAGAGGUCACCGGUUCGAUUCCGGUCAUG